rnacentral:lncRNA from 1 species
CUCCUCCCCGCUUCCUUGCCUCAACCCAACAACCUCCCAUGCACCAUGCCAUCGCCCACCGCUCCACAUGACAGCCAGAGGCCCAGCCUAGAAGCCCAAAAACCAGAAUGUAGCAGGCUUGGGCCUAGGAAAGAGGCCCAUAGGCCAGGUUGGGCCCCAGCUUGGAAAAAAUUGGCACGGUGACUUGGGCUGAGCCCAUCCCAAAUCUGGCUUGCCUAGUAAGCAGCUCUAAUCACAAGUCAACUAGCAUGAACUCAGGAUUGUUAGUGAUUACCAAGUACAAGUAGAAGCUCAACAAAGAGUUGCAAACUAAGAGAUAAUAAGGGAUAUAACAGACACACAAAACAGAUCAACCAUUUUCCUUGCAUAUGAAGGUUAGGAGAAGAUGUUACUAAGAAACAGCAUUACAACAUUUGUAAUAAUUGUGCAUGUAUGUCGUUCUGUUAUCUUUUCUUCCAAACAAGCAAAUAUUAUUUAGUAGCAGAAUAUAGAAUUGCAAAAUUCUUGCUACAGAGAAUAUAAGGAUGGGAAACAGCAUCACCUUAUUCUUUAAUUGUUGUUCCUGUGCUAUUCAACUUGAUUUUCCAAUCACGUAAAUGUAAGAUCUCCUGAUCUGCAUUUGUAAAACAAGCAUUUUGUGAUUCACAGAACCUUUGGAUAUAAGCAAAAAAAUCUCAUGAUGCAAUUGGAACAAUAGGUUCAUGAGUGCCACCAAACCUCUCUCUUUUUUAUUUUUAGUGCAUACCCACUUCAAAAGCAAAUUAACAGGCAGAUAUGUUGCAAUCAGCAGUGCUAGAUUAAAAUUUCAACUGCUGUAUGGAUAUUCCAGUUUGUAACGCAAAUCACAAUUGCUUGAUUCUAUUUUUGGUGCCGAUACAGAAACAUGAACCAGUAGAUAAGAUUGCAGAUAAGAUCUUGAUGACUGCAAUGAUGCCAAACAUUGGAUCACCCAGUCGUUUGAAUCCUUACAUGCACUCUGAAAUGCACAGUUUUAAACAAUUAAGAGAAGAAACAUACAUAGAAAUAUUGAUUAUUUGAUUCCUGAAUUAAUCACCUGGAUUGGUAGCCCAGUCAAUAUUAAGAUGCAGUGGUAUGAUGAUGAAAUUUGCUUUUUCUUUAUUUGUUGAACACUUUAAAUUUUAUAACAAUUCCGAGUUCCCUGAUGUAAAGCUAGUUGAAACUCAAAAGUUAAAUAACUAAACGACAAUCCUUGACACAAUGUUUUGCAUUCAUUAACACCUCAUAGUUCAUACUACUAACUGGUUAAGGAAGUGGCCUGGAGAAGAAAAUGAACUGCAAAGCAACGACCUCGUAUAAGCAAUUCAAUAAAUAAGAAUAUUCAGACAUGAACUUCCAUUUUCAUUUUCAUGUGAAUAUAACGUGUUUCACAGAUCAUAAGAUUUUGUCCAUAAUCUUCCACAGUUUGAAUGCUGUGGUCACAGAAAUUAUUUUGCCAUAUUCAUAACAAAAAAUGUGAUAACUAGAGGAAUGUUUUAAUAUGAAGAGAAAAAACUCUUAGAAGUUAUAUUGUACCAUGAUAACCACCGCAAAUGACAGGCACAGCUGACAAGACCCUACAUAUUCACGUGAGGUCCUGAAUGGCAAGUCACACUAGCUUAUUGGUUGGCUAUAAAGGAUUAGUAGAGAAGUUGAAAGACCAAGAGAUGGCUAUAAAUUCUAAUGACAACUCUACCAAACAGUCAAUCAUCUCCAUUAUGCUGGAAAAUUUUAUAUGAAACCUGAAUGCUUCAGCACAGAAUACUAUAUGUGAUGCUAGCCAGGGAUUCAAGUCCCAAUGGGACGUCCCAUAGGACACCGGGAUGAGGUACCAUCCUAUAUGUUGGGACAGACCAUCCCGCUAGCGUCCCGGUAUCCCGAUCAGGACGUCUUCGGACAUUCUCUGUCUCAAGUGUCAGGACAGGGUGGGACGGCGAUGCAUCCCUUUCCAUGAAAAAAUCGGGACAGCCUCGUCCCACGGGAUUUAAAACCUUGAUGCUAGCAACAUAUAUGAUUAGAUCAAUGAGAUUCUCAGAGCAUCUAAUUACUUACUCUCACUACGUGCAUCAAUCUAAACAUAUUUAACAACCCUUCUUUGCUUUGUUCAAUCAACAUAACAACAGCUUUAUGGAUAAUCUUAUAAUUCACUACAAUCCAAGAAUGUCUGGUGACCAGCUCAUAAUGCCCAAUGAAUGGAUGUUAAAUUCCUGACAAAGGCAAAUUCAGGAAAUAUAGAGUCCUACCAUGGAACGUAGAAGGCUACUUUAUACCUUAGCACUCAACAAGGCUUGUCUUAUUGCCAUCGAGUUUAAUUUCAUAAGACCCGAGAACGAGCCUUGAUGGAAUGAGAUGAAGACAGCGUUCGAUAUAAAGAAUGGCAUCCCCACCCGUCAAUCACCAAUUACAUACUCCUCCGGCUGCCUCACCAACACAUUUAAUCCAUUCACAAAAGACUCAAUAAAUCACAAGAGGAUCAUCCCGUAUUUAAUCAUUUUCCUAAUCCACCAGAAAAUAUAAGAGAACAUCCGCUUGGACAAGAAGUUCUAGAUGAAUUCUAAAACACAAACUUCAAUAAAAUCAACAGAGUCCAAUAAGACUAUCCCAUUUGAGAUCGAAUCCAAUGCCAUCAAAUACACCAAACCACAGAAUCCACUCAGACCCAGAGAUCGCAAGCGUGCUUGCAUGAGACAAAAGAAAGGGGAGCAGGAAACAUGAUUCUCGAAGGUCCGAUCCUCAAAAACCCUAACUCUAGAACGAAUCUGGGAAGCGAAACCCUAACCCUAAAACAGGAGAAGGAUCGCGAGCCUUACUCUAUUGAGCUAUUCCGGGAGAGGACGGCACAGAGAAGGAUCGGAGUGGCCGGAAGGUGACCGGAAUCGCAGCCGAGUGGGAGAGCUUGCCCGCGUCCGCGAAGAGAGGCUGACAGAAACGAAGGAAAGGAGAAAGGAAGGGGGACGCGGAAAGGAAAAGAUAGAAGCAAAGGAAAUUUCGAGGACGUGGCAAAUUAU